rnacentral:lncRNA from 1 species
CUAGAAUGACUCAGAAGAGAUAAGACUAGAGGCAGAGAUACUAGCUAAGAAGCUGUUGCAACAAUGAAAGAAGAAAUGAUGAGAACCUAAACUAAGGCAAUACUAAUAGAAGCAAAGAGAAGGGAAGAGAUUUCACAAGUUUAUAAGAAGAAAGUGGUAGGACUUGAAAGUUAAUUGGAUGUAAAGACCAAAGCAAGGGGCAGUCAAGGAUGGCUCCUGGAUUUCUGGCUUGAGAGACUAGGUGGAUGAAAGAGCAGGUAGAAUGAGAAAGAUGAUGCUUUCAGUUUGGGAUAGGUCAAGUUUUGGGUCCCUUAUAGGUCUUUCAGGGAGAAAUGUCUAGCAGGGAUUUGGAUAGAAAUGUCUGGCACUCAGGAGAAAUAGAGGUAAUUCAAGUCAUGGAGAGGAUCCAAGAAAUUAUUUUAUGCAUUGAAAAUACUUGAUAUUAAGCCAUCUACUAACUCCAUUUUUGUUUUCUUAUUAAAGAUGAGAACACCAAAGACAGAAUAUAUGGUUCUUCUAGAAGAUCCACUUUCAAUUUUACUAAAGUGAAUGACCCACUUUGAUGAAAAGAAUAAUGACUUCUAAGGUCUCUUACAACUCUAAUGUUACAAUUCUAUUGUUCCAUCUGGAAUUGCCUUUUGAAGACAGCACACCUGUGGCCUAAAACUUCCUUGGUGAACAUGUGAAAUAUUUUUUAAUGAAAGCCCAUUACAUAUAAAGCCAUACAACCCCAAACAUGCAGUGAUAAUGCUUAUAGCAAAGAAAAACCAAGUAAAGACACUAUCUACAUUUACCUACUCUGAUCCCAAUUGGCUGCAAACAGCAAAAGAAUCUUCCUGCCGUAAUGGUCUCGGUUUUCCAGCACCCCGGGGAACCCAUCGAUCAGAGCCCUCUUAAUGCCGGGAUCAUCUGCCUUGAAGUUUUUGAACAUGUCCAGGUUUAGCUGGCGGUACUGGAAAUACUGAGCCAGGAGUCUAAAGGCAUCCGCUUGGUGAAACUUCCUGGCUCGGAGAAAUCUCAGGAUGAAGGCAUCAUCUGGAUCCUGCAAUAGACAGAAGAAAGAUAAUUCCCUGGGAAGUGCUGAGCAGAUCCAUGUAACCGUGACCCUUCUUCUGGAUGUGAUUGCACAGACAAUGGCAGCAGUGGGAAUCACAGCUAAGAAAACUGCCUGGGAAAAGUAAAACACAUCAGCAAGCUUAAGGCUGGCAUCAAGACUUUUAUAUUGGAGGAGCCAAGAUGGCCGAAUAGGAACAGCUCCGGUCUACAGCUCCCAGCGUGAGCGACGCAGAAGAGGGUGAUUUCUGCAUUUCCAUCUGAGAAACCCCAAUUCCCACCAACUUCAGAUCUCCAUUCCUACCAACUUCAGCUCUGCUGGUAUGUGGACAUCAGAGAAGGGGGAACUGGAAACUGAACUCUGACCAUAUCAUUCUGUGUUCUAAAUGUCUUCCUGAGGGGCCUGGAGGAAGUUACACUCACAAGCCAGAGCUAACAUUCUUUUCUGCUGACCCCAAAUUUUAAAAUAAAGCUUCUCUUCCUUAACCAAUUGCAAUUCAAAAAAUCUUUGAAUCUGACUACGGUCUGUAAGCCUCCACUUCAAGAUAUCCUGCCCUUUUAGGGCGAAACCAAUGUGUAACCUUGAUGUAUUGAUUUACGAUUUUGCCUGUAACUUCUGCUUUCCUGAAAUUUACUCCUGCUGUUAAAAGACACUUACCUGUAAGCUACUGGGGAGGUCAGGACUCAAGCAUUAGCUGCUUGAUCCUCCUUGCUUGGCACCCUGAAAAUAAA